UACGUAGGUGGCAAGCGUUGUUCGGAAUUACUGGGCGUAAAGGGCUCGUAGGCGGCCAACUAAGUCGGACGUGAAAUCCCCAGGCUCAACCUGGGAACUGCGUCCGAUACUGGAUGGCUUGAAUCCGGGAGAGGGAUGCAGAAUUCCAGGUGUAGCGGUGAAAUGCGUAGAUAUCUGGAGGAAUACCGGUGGCGAAGGCGGCAUCCUGGACCGGCAUUGACGCUGAGGAGCGAAAGCUAGGGGAGCGAACCGG
rnacentral:rRNA from 1 species